rnacentral:rRNA from 1 species
GAACUUUGACGGCGAUUCUUCCAUAGUACGAGAGGAUUUGGAAGGACCGACCCCUGGUUUACCAGUUGUCCUGCUAAGGGCACGGCUGGAUAGCCAUGUCGGGAACGGAUAAACGCUGAAAGCAUCUAAGCGUGAAGCCAACGCCAAAACGAGAGUUCCGUGCGAGCUUGCUCGCGAGAGACCCCGGGUAGACCACCCGGUUGAUAGGCCGGAGCUGUACGGGCUGAGAGGCCUUCAGGUCACCGGUACUAACGGUCGACAGCUUG